CCUACGGGUGGCAGCAGUGGGGAAUAUUGGACAAUGGGCGAAAGCCUGAUCCAGCCAUGCCGCGUGUGUGAAGAAGGCCUUCGGGUUGUAAAGCACUUUCAGUGGGGAAGAAAGCCUUGGGGCUAAUACCCUCGAGGAAGGACAUCACCCACAGAAGAAGCACCGGCUAACUCCGUGCCAGCAGCCGCGGUAAUACGGAGGGUGCGAGCGUUAAUCGGAAUUACUGGGCGUAAAGCGCGCGUAGGCGGUCUGAUAAGCCGGUUGUGAAAGCCCCGGGCUCAACCUGGGAACGGCAUCCGGAACUGUCAGGCUAGAGUGCAGGAGAGGAAGGUAGAAUUCCCGGUGUAGCGGUGAAACGCGUAGAGAUCGGGAGGAAUACCAGUGGCGAAGGCGGCCUUCUGGACUGACACUGACGCUGAGGUGCGAAAGCGUGGGUAGCAAACAGGAUUAGAUACCCUAGUAGUC
rnacentral:rRNA from 1 species